AAUGACAUAGCUAGAAGCACACAAAAUUAUAAUCAGAAGAAAAAGUUUACAACAGAGGCCAAAAACACAAAUAGUGAAACUGCAAAAACUAACACAUAUCAUUAAAAUUCGAUCGCUCAAAAACAUCGCAGAACUCUCACAUAUACAAUAGAUCCCAGAAACAAAGAACAAAUGAAAGAGUCUAGAAAUCAAGUAAAAACUAAUGGCCAGAGUGAAGAGGAAAAUGAGGAGAAAAGCUGGAAUAAAGCAAUAAUCGAGCAGAAAGACUUAAGAACAAACUCAAAUUUCAACUCAAAAAGGACUUAUUAAGAGCCACAAGUUUUUCUUGAAAAUAAUCACUUAUUAAAUCAUUUACAAAAUAAAUCAUAUACAUUACCAGAGACAACAAAAUGUUUGACCUAUGUGUAAUCAUUCUCUUUUGGAAUCUCUCUCACAUAAACGUUACAUAUUACAUAAGUUUGUCUUUCACACAAAUACUACAGAUGACAAGCAUAUGUGACAUUAGAUAUGUGUCACAGCAUCCAUCCUCAGAAUUAUGAUCACUUAGGAGUUUAGCAACUAAAAUUCAAUUUCCACUACACCCUUCCCUUUUCUUCAUCUAAGUAUCUGGCAAUUCCUAAACCUGGAUUCCGUAGGAUAUGGGUCUAUCCUGUUUCCUAGUAUUAGUUGGAAAAGUGUCGUCCAUAGGUAUUCUUUUAGAUAAUGGACUUGAGUUACUUCUUAAGUAAGAAAGUAGCAAAUGAAACCUGCCAUGAAUCCAAGAAAAAGUAAAAGUUGUUACAUGUGAUUUUCCAGCUUUUAAAACUUUACUUGCCAAGUUCCUAAUCCAUAAUUUUCCAAAUAUAUGGCUACAAACCAGAAAUUUUUGUCAUUACCUUUAUAGAAAGGCUUACAUCAAUUAAAAUUUGUGAAAACAACUACUACGAUUCAUUAUUUGUUGUCAAAUUCACCAUGAAUAUUAUGUACAUUAUGAUUCUAAAUGUGAUAAAAUCCGCCAAACCGAGGGCAGACAAAAUUUUAUACAUAUAUUUGUGCUAAAGUAACUCUAGUAUUAAAUUCAAUAUGGAAAAAAAAAUCGACAUUCUAAUUUAGGUUGAGGGCAAGCCAAGAGAGGUUGGAAGAGUAGUAACUAAUGAGUUCGUGAACAAUGAUCCUAUGCUUUUUGCUUGAUUCCUAUAACAAAAUAUCGCUGAAGAAGUUGAAAUUUUCUAACUAAUAAGAGGGUUCUUUCAACUAUUUAAUUAUACAUGAUAGCAAAUAUGCGAAAAAGUAAAUUUCAAGAACAACAAAAUAAAUUAUCUACUGGUACUACUUCUGGUUAUUUGAAAUUUUCAAAAAUGUUAUCACGCUCCUACAUAUCUUUCACAAAUAUACUACUAUUGAAGGACCCAGCAGAAUUUUGAAGAUCUUGAACAGCAUAGGUUAAGAUACACUUGAUAGCUUCUUUACCUUUAAUUUCUCACAAUUGUUCGUUUAGGCAACAAAAAAAAAUUAUUCGCACUUGAUGUUCUAUGUUCCUACGCAGUGUAACACAAAAAUCAAUUUUUGUCCAAAAACAAAAUUGUUUUCUUGAUUUCAGUUCUUCUUCGCCAAAAUAAAAAUUAAACUACAAAUAUUUUUAUAAAUAAAAAAUUCUUAAAUUAAGACUUGUUGAGUAUCAGCAUCCCAUUUAGCACCUACAGGACUCGCAACCUUCAAUUUAGCAUACAUCAGCCAUGAAAUUGCAUUAAAAACACAAUUUUAUCACUCGAUUUAACACACAUUUGCCAUAAGAUUGCAAGUUUAAAAUCAUAUAGAUAGCUCAAAAAGAAUAGGGCAGAAAUUAAAAGAAAAGAAAAAGGAUCUGGAGAAAAUCAGAAAAGAACCUACAGCAAACACUGAACUUCAGAAUCAAAAUUAACAAUGAUAAAGAGUACAUAGAAGAAACCCAAAAUGAAAAAAGAAGGAAGGAAAAAGUAGAAAAAAGAUAUUGCAAAAUUGAUUGAACAAAUAUCUACAGAUGCUUUAGAAAUCUUACUAGAGAGAGACUUCAGAACAGCUUCGAUAAGAAAGAGGCGUGGAGAUGAGAGAAGAAAGGUCUGGGAUCUGAUAUAAGAAAACUGACACGUAUGUAGGUCAUGUGAAAUGACCUCAAACUUUGUUGAAAUAAUCCUAAACACAUAUGUCCAAACUCUUUCUCUUCUAAAGAAGAGAAAAACGAUAUAAAAUGAAUACAUACAUGACGUCUAGG
rnacentral:lncRNA from 1 species